GAGUUUGAUCUUGGCUCAGAACGAACGCUGGCGGCAUGCCUAACACAUGCAAGUCGAACGAAGGCUUCGGCCUUAGUGGCGCACGGGUGCGUAACGCGUGGGAAUCUGCCCUUAGGUACGGAAUAACUCAGGGAAACUUGAGCUAAUACCGUAUAAUGACUCCGGUCCAAAGAUUUAUCGCCUAAGGAUGAGCCCGCGUCGGAUUAGCUAGUUGGUGAGGUAAAGGCUCACCAAGGCGACGAUCCGUAGCUGGUCUGAGAGGAUGAUCAGCCACACUGGGACUGAGACACGGCCCAGACUCCUACGGGAGGCAGCAGUGGGGAAUAUUGGACAAUGGGCGCAAGCCUGAUCCAGCAAUGCCGCGUGAGUGAUGAAGGCCUUAGGGUUGUAAAGCUCUUUUACCCGGGAUGAUAAUGACAGUACCGGGAGAAUAAGCCCCGGCUAAC
rnacentral:rRNA from 1 species